GACGAACGCUGGCGGCGUGCUUAACACAUGCAAGUCGAACGGAAAGGCCCUGCUUGCCGGGUACUCGAGUGGCGAACGGGUGAGUAACACGUGGGUGAUCUGCCCUGCACUUCGGGAUAAGCCUGGGAAACUGGGUCUAAUACCGGAUAGGAGCCAUUUUUAGUGUGAUGGUUGGAAAGUUUUUUCGGUGUAGGAUGAGCUCGCGGCCUAUCAGCUUGUUGGUGGGGUAAUGGCCUACCAAGGCGGCGACGGGUAGCCGGCCUGGGAGGGUGGACGGCCACAGUGGGACUGGGAGACGGCCCAGACGCCGGCGGGGGGCAGCAGGGGGGAAGAUUGCACAAUGGGCGCAAGCCUGAUGCAGCGACGCCGCGGGGGGGAUGACGGCCUUCGGGUUGUAAACUCCUUUCGCUAGGGACGAAGCUUUUUGUGACGGUACCUAGAGAAGAAGCACCGGCUAACUACGUG
rnacentral:rRNA from 1 species